rnacentral:tRNA from 1 species
GCGGAAGUGGCGGAAUUGGCAGACGCGCCGGUUUUAGGUGCCGGUGGGGCAACCCGUGGGAGUUCGAAUCUCCCCUUUCGCACCA